GUGAGCGGGCUCCAAGUUUCCUGAGAGUUCCUUGAGUGGAGACUGGCACUGUGCCGUACUAGUCCUUCUCGCCCUUUCCCAAUCUCUCUUCUCUUAAUCUCAAAAUCAUCUGAUCCUAAUCUCUCAAAGCAUAGAUCUUCUCCAUCCACCAUCAGUCGUCCGCCAUCCACCAUCUGACAUCCGUUCCUUUCCCAUCUCUCUAUCUGCGUGGGUGCGGGUUGGAUCUGUAGCGAAAGAGACUCUCGCAUCCCCAUCACAAUGGAUCUCAAUAAUCUUCCAACAGUCCAAGAGGAUGAUACAGAGGAAGAAGAUUAUAAUCACCAGCGACACUUGGAGACACAAGGUAUGCCGGAUUUGGCUCUCAAUCUUCAGGCUAUCAGUUUAUCAGCACCUAGAGUUUGCAGUCUGCAAGCCAAGCAUAUGGAGCAGAGUCAAGAGAUACAAGAGAAAUUCAUGCUACUGAUGAAAAUAGCAUGCACAGAAGGUACUCCGAGGACAAUUUCAGAACAUACUAUCACUCAAGCCAUGGUGAGAGCGUGGAAACAACACUAUUAUGCAAUAUCUCAAGUUUCCACUCAUGUGUUUAUGGCUUAUUUUGCUACUCUAGAAGAUAUGAUGUUUGUGUUCACCCGUCAGCCCUGGAAAGUGGUAUCGGAUAAUCUGCUGUUGGAACGGGUUGAUCCGGAAGAUGAAAGCAAGACAAAAGAGGAUUACAAGUUUGAGCACAUCUAUGUAACUGUUAGAGCGUAUGGGAUUCCAAGAGAAGCUAGAUCAUUGCAACUCUUACAUGAUAUUAUCUGCACUGUAGGUUCCCCUUCAGAAUUUCAUCCACUUCAGAAUAACAUGUUGUUUGCAAGACCAGAGUACAUAUGGGGUACAUCAAAGCUCAAGGUAAUGCGGCCAUUGGUGGAUAAAAUCAAUCUCACUCUUCCGGAUAAGUCAACCACAAUGGUUUAUUUGCAUUAUGAAAAGAUUGGAAGGAUAUGUCUUUAUUGUGGAAUAAUGUUUCAUACCAGUCAGCAUUGUGGGAUAAGAAAUGAUAUAAUCAUGGAGAGAAUAAGAUGCGGAAGUCAGUCAAUGAAAUUCCUUUUAUGCAAUAUGGAGAGUGGUUAUUAGAUCCUAUGUGUGUGCCUCAACCAUCAGUGCAACCAAGAAGGGAUGUCUCAUUAGUUCUUAGCAGGUUCCAAAUGUUUGGAGAAAAGGAUGUGAAAGGGAAAGAACUUGUGGGGUACACCAAAGUUAACCCGAGUCUAACCCAGCUCAUAUGAGUCAACUAUAUUCAGCAGGAAGACAACUACAACUGCAGUAUGCAGGGGUGCCAUCAACAGUAUCAGUAGAACAACAAGAUGGUGAAGUAACUAAAGGGAGAUCAUAGUUUCCAAAAAGAGGACCAGGAGAUAAUCAAUCUAGAUGCCGGCAAAAAGAGGCGAGGGACAUGAUUCUAUAUACACCCAGGGGAGAAUACAGACUGAUACAAGCUUUACACCAACAACAAGAGUAUGGGUCAGAUAUAAGUCAGCAGAUUGGCCACAACUACAAACAAACAAUGGUUCAAACUAAGAAAAAUGGAGAACCAACCGUACAUACAGAUUGGAUACCCCGGGCUGCAGAUACUUUGGCGUCUCAAUUAUUAACUGAUUCCAUGAAUAGACUGAUACAGAACAUUCACACUAAACAAUUCAACCUGGACCAGAAUGUUAACCAAGAGGAAAGCCUAUCACAUAUGCAAUCUCGCUCAAACCUAAUGGUUAAGAGAGCAUCUCCUUUCUCCAACUCUCAAGAGACACCACCAACCAAGAAGUAUGCCCCUGAUGGUGAGGCACAAGUUCCAUCAUUGCAGGGGGGAUAAUGAAUCAGAGGGAGAUGAUGUCGCCGCCCAAGCAAAAAAUACAACAGAUGGCCUAUAGUUACAGAUCCAGUAUUUACCGGAAUUGAUGCAACAACGGGGAGUGACUUCAAUAUCUCCCACAUAUGCAGGAGGUAAUGGUCAAGUCAGAGACCAUCGAGAAACAGAGGAACAGGUUGAUGGCUACAAUCAGAAAAGUGAGAUUCGAAGUAGAGCUUCAGGAUGCGAUGUACUACCAUCGGCCAGACCUGAAAAUUCUUAUACUGGUAACACAAGGACUCCUCUUGCUGGCAUUGGUGGGCCAAUUAGGAAGCACCAUAAUCUUACCAAAAAAUCUGCGGUAAGGUUGAUAUGUACAGAAACCGAGAAGCAGCUGUGGAAAAGUUGAGUAGUCCUUACACUACUCAUCGCAGCAAAACACCUGCAAAGGUAGGCUUGGAUGGAGAAGAGAAUUAUGAUCCAUGGCUGUUGUGGAUUCCAUUGACAUCUUCUAGCAAAAACUGUCGAGAUUCUCACUAUGGUGCUUUCACCCCACCUACAACAGACAGUGAAAGAUGUGCGGAUCUGCAAGUUGGUUCCAGCAAUAGUGGCAUCAGAACUAUAACCCAAACUCAAUGUUGCAACAAUCAGGGUGAAGUUUUGAAGCCUAUUCUAGAAGUUUGUCAUGAAGGUGAUAUGGAAGUUGAUGGGGCUAUGGCGCCAGCCCUUAAGGCGCCACAGGCGCCAUGAAGAUGAUAGCCUGGAACUGUCGAGGCAUGGGCUAGGGUCUCGGCAGUGAGAAGAUGUGCUACCUGGCAAGACUGAUUCACGCCACAAAAGCCAAGUGUUGUAGUUCCUUCCAAGGGGCGCUCUGGAGGACUUUGGCUGAUGUGGAGUGAUGAUCUACAAGUGAAUGUACAUACUUCUAAUUUCUAUGUUACCUUAGCUACUGUUCUUAGUAUAGCCAGUAAGGAGGAGUUUGUUCUGGUUUGCAUAUAUGGAGAUCCAUACCAUCGCCAAACAAACCAGAUUUGGGAGAUAGUGGCAUCUUUUGUGUAUGAUAAUGUCAGCAAGCAUGUAGUUUGUAUGGGAGACAUGAAUGACAUUCUCUAUGAUAUGGACAAAAGUACUCCCUAUGUUAAUACUAAUCGUAUGAAUGCUUUCCGCAA